GUUGGAUCUUUCUUUGAUCACUGUCUUUCAAUGAAAGUCUUUCUAUUAAUUUUUAUUCAGCACCAAGUCCCCACAGAUAGAUGCAAAUUUUAUAAGUAAUUAAAUGUAGCAUUUUUAUUUUAGAGCUCUAGAAAUGCACAAAGAUGCAACUGUCUUUGAGACAAGCAGAAACAGUGUGUGCUAUAUAGUAUGUAUAGUCCGGACAGGGACCAGACAGUUGGAGGUCUUUCAUCCUCACACACAACCUUAGGGCUCCAAAGUACAUAGCAGACAGCUCGGUUCAGUCUCUCUGCCAGAAUGGUUCCAGAAACAACAACCAUUUUUGAGAGAUGCCCAGGACUGUGUAUAGAUGAUAACUUCAUAGUUAUCAUUUCUGAUCUAUAUAUGGAAUGUGAAAAUUUAUUUCUUUUAAAUAUCUGAGAUUUAGCUACUGGCCUCUUAAAUUCUAUACAUUUGCCUGUCCACAGAGCCUACCCCAUCCUCUGAAUCCUGAGAUACUGUACUAGAAUGCAUUCAAACACAGAAGGCCAAAUAAGGAUGUAAAAACAAGGGCUCUGAAUAGAGUUUAGGAGGAGCAUCUCUUUAAUAUCCGACUCGGGUUUUAAAGCAGUAGUUUGUUCCCAAUCAUGUGAUGUUUAGACUAAUCAGAUUAAUCAACGCAAAUGUGUACUUUUAGCAGCAACACUAAGAACAAAUAAUCAAGAUGAAAAGAACACACAUUUCAAACUGACCAUCUGGCCUCCAUCUCAGUUCUGCCAUGCAGACUUGGUGUCAUCUCGAGAGCUCCAGCACGGAGACUGAAUCACAGACAGGAGGGCAUCAUGAGAGAUUUGAAUACAGCUCAAUGGCAGGAGUAUGUGCCUACGCAAUACAACUGAGUUUCCAACAAGCAUGCCAACCUGAAAUGCAAC
rnacentral:lncRNA from 1 species